rnacentral:rRNA from 1 species
GACAGAGGUGCCAAGCGUUAGGCGGAAUCACUGGGCUUAAAGCGUGUGUAGGUGGAUGUCUAAGUACCUUGUGAAAUCCCAUGGCUCAACCAUGGAACUGCUUGGUAUACUGGAUGUCUUGAGCCACUUAGGGGCUACCGGAACAAAUGGUGGAGCGGUGAAAUGCGUAGAUAUCAAUUUGGAACGCCAAUGGUGAAAACAGGUAGCUGGGAGUGUGCUGACACUGAGACACGAAAGCCAGGGGAGCGAACGGG